rnacentral:lncRNA from 1 species
AUGGCUUAAGGAGUUGAGAGUGUGAGAAUGUGGAGGCAAAGGGAAGGAAGGUUAGGGAUCGACCAGGCCGUACAAGAGGCCGUACCGGCCGUACCGUCCGUACUGUCCGGGUCGAUCCAUAACUCGACCAAGAGGGAAGUUACCCGGGUGAAAGGGUUAAACGGCCAAAGGGGUUUUACCUUAGGAGAUAUGACCGUUUGGAUGGAUAGAGUGACCGCGGCUUAUCCUGACAGUCUGGCACAAGCUGUAAAGGCAAAAGGGAACCUAGUCCAAGAUGCCAAAAGCGUGUGACAGCUCCCAUUGGUUUACAUUUGAAUUAAAGCAAUCUUAUCCUUGACUACACAUGCUUAGCGCUCCUGAAUACCCUAAUGUCUCUCUCUAUAUAUUGUAAACUCUGUCUUGAUUAAUGGUUAACACGAGUUCAUCAUAAUCUCUCUCUAGUUCAUCAUGUUUCUCUUCUACAUUUCAUAAAUCAUCU